UCGGCAUACUGCUCAGUAACACGUGGAUAACCUGCCCUAUCGUCUGGAAUAACCUCGGGAAACUGAGAAUAAGGCCGGAUAGUUCACAAUGCCUGGAACGGUUUGUGAAUCAAGGUAGGAUGGGUCUGCGGCGUAUCAGGUUGUAGGGGGUGUAAAGGACCCCCUAGCCUUCGACGCGUACGGGUGUUGGGAGACAUAGCCCGGAGAUGGAUUCUGAGACACGAAUCCAGACCCUACGGGGUGCAGCAGGCGCGAAAACUUCACACUGCAGGAAACUGUGAUGAGGGAACUCCUAGUGCAUGCACUAUGUGUAUGUAGAUCCUACUCUUAACAAGUAGAGGGAAAGGGCUGGGAAAGACCGGUGCCAGCCGCCGCGGUAAUACCGGCAGCUCAAGUGGUCGUCGCUUUUAUUGGGCCUAAAACGUCCGUAGCCUGUUUGGUAAAUCUGUGGGUAAAUCAAUCCGCUCAACGGAUUGAAUUCUGCAGAGACUGCCAGACUAGGGACCGGGAGAGGUGUGGGGUACUCGAGGGGUAGGGGUAAAAUCCUGUCAUCCUUCGAGGACCACCAGUUGCGAAGGCGCCACACUGGAACGGAUCCGACGGUCAGGGACGAAGCCUAGGGGCACGAACCGGAUUAGAUACCCGGGUAGUCCUAGGUGUAAACGCUGUGAACUUGGUGUCGGGGGUCCGCAAGGGGUCCCCGGUGCCGGAGUGAAGAUGUUAAGUUCACUGCCUGGGGAGUACGGUCGCAAGGCUGAAACUUAAAGGAAUUGGCGGGGGAGCACUGCAACCGGGAGGAGCGUGCGGUUUAAUU
rnacentral:rRNA from 1 species